GAUGAACGCUGGCGGCGUGCCUAAUACAUGCAAGUCGAGCGAACAGACGAGGAGCUUGCUCCUCUGACGUUAGCGGCGGACGGGUGAGUAACACGUGGAUAACCUACCUAUAAGACUGGGAUAACUUCGGGAAACCGGAGCUAAUACCGGAUAAUAUAUUGAACCGCAUGGUUCAAUAGUGAAAGACGGUUUUGCUGUCACGUAUAGAUGGAUCCGCGCCGCAUUAGCUAGUUGGUAAGGUAACGGCUUACCAAGGCAACGAUGCGUAGCCGACCUGAGAGGGUGAUCGGCCACACUGGAACUGAGACACGGCCCAGACUCCUACGGGAGGCAGCAGUAGGGAAGCUUCCGCCAUGGGCGAAAGCCUGACGGAGCAACGCCGCGUGAGUGAUGAAGGUCUUCGGAUCGUAAAACUCUGUUAUUAGGGAAGAACAAAUGUGUAAGUAACUAUGCACGUCUUGACGGUACCUAAUCAGAAAGCCACGGCUAACUACGUG
rnacentral:rRNA from 1 species